rnacentral:lncRNA from 1 species
ACAUACAUACAUACAAAAAAUUAGCCAGGUGUGGUGGUGCAUGCCUGUAGCAGCAGAUACUCUGGAGACUGAGGUGGGAGGCCAACCCUGGAAGUCGAGGCUACAGUGAGCUGUGAUCGCACCACUGCACUCCAGCCUGGAUGGCAGAGCGAGACCCUGUAUUGAAAACUUGUAAAAACUCUUAAUUUUCAUGCAUCUGUCUCCUUCCUUCAAUAUCUGCCUGGAAAACUCCAAGGGUGGUAAACCUCAGCCAUUCUGAUAGAUGCAGGAGGCAGAUAAGGGAGGAUCCCCAGAGGAUCUCCAACCUGCUCCACAGGUGUUUACAUCACAUGCUUUUAUGCAGAUUAGGGAAACUGCUCCAGGCCUUGUCUGUGCAUGCCCACAACAGACUGGGGGCCC